rfam:Heligmosomoides polygyrus genome assembly, scaffold: HPBE_scaffold0001413
GCGCCGGUGGUUAAUGGCGUAGAGCAUUCCCGCCCGGUCAGAGGGAGGUGCGGGUUCGAGUCCCGCCUGGCGCU